rnacentral:lncRNA from 1 species
GCCUGCCGUCAGUCCCCCCGGUCCCCGGUCCCCUGGCUCACGGGCAUGGCGCGCGCGGCGGGGCGCGAGCGGCGGCUCCUGGCCAUCUACACCGGAUAGGCACCCAUCGGCAUGCGGAGCGAGCGCGGCGGGUCCAGGCUGCAGGGACAAGGUGGACUCUGACCUGGAUCCCACCUGCACUGCGUCUUGUCCCCUCACAGCCCCCCACCUCCCCGGGGCCCCUUAGGCUCACUCUCCCAGGCGCUGCAUUUUCCAGAGAGGAUGUAAACUCCCACGUCUGGAAGGUGACCUGGAGACUGACUCUAGAAAGACGGGGUGUGGUGGGAGCGCCUUUCAGACAGGCAGGAGUCAUCCACGAGACCUCAGGACAGCACCCCAGGCUGGGGACGGAGCCAGAUGGAUGGAGGAGCCAGGCCUGGGCCCGGUGGGCCGCCGUGCUCUGCCGGCCUCUGCCCUCUCUGAGCCCAGCUGGGGGCUGGGGGGACGCAGACACUCCAGGCCCUUCCUGCCCGGGGAAUUCUGAUCCGGAGGGCGGAGGGCAUCAAUGAUUAACUUGCCUGGCACUGCUGAUAUGGGCUCCGGCCCACGAGGGGGUGGUGAGGGGCGGCCACAGCAAAGCUGUUUGGAUUGUCGCUGUUGGGAGCCCUUCUGCACCUGCUGGUAAACAGUGGCCUGCAGGGCACUCGGCGCCCCACACGUGAGCUCUGCCAAAGGUCAGGAUGGUGACGGGAGGGCAGAGGCCGUGGCAGCUAGGGACGCCCGUCACCCAUCCCCUCUCUGAGUUUGGGGAAGAUGUCACUGGUCAAGGGACAUCGUGAAUCCCAAAUCAGCCGAUCACCCCAAGCCCAAGACCGAGCUGCGUCACGGCUGAGGAGCCCUGACGCCCUGAGCGUCCCUCGUGGGCCUGGCUCCUGGCGGGCGUAGCAGGGUGAGUAGAGCCUCGGAGCCUGGCAGCUGAAGGCGCCAGGACAUCCCAGGAGGCCACCGGAGGGCCUGGCAGCCAAGCCGCAUCCGGAGGGGUGAUGUCCAUGGCUUCUUGCGCCCUUGGCCUAGACCCCCUUCCUGAGCGAGUUGCCACACGUUCACGAGUUCACUGUUUUAUAGCCUGAGCUGUGCUGGGACGGCCCUUACAGAUGAGUGGGUCUCGUGAGCCGCUGCCAGUGACAGCUCCCGGCCUGCACGGCCUGGGGACAAGGCCUGGGCAGGGCGGCUUCUGCUUCUGUAGGGCCUGAAGCUUGGGGGCCCGUGCUAAGAAAGAGACUACCAUUUACAAAAUCGGAAUUAGAUGAGAAAGCAGGUGUUUGUUGUUUGUUUGUUUCGUUGUUGUUAGUUUUUUCGGC